GACGAACGCUGGCGGCGUGCUUAACACAUGCAAGUCGAACGGAAAGGCCCUGCUUUUGUGGGGUGCUCGAGUGGCGAACGGGUGAGUAACACGUGAGUAACCUGCCCUUGACUUUGGGAUAACUUCAGGAAACUGGGGCUAAUACCGGAUAGGAGCUCCUGCUGCAUGGUGGGGGUUGGAAAGUUUCGGCGGUUGGGGAUGGACUCGCGGCUUAUCAGCUUGUUGGUGGGGUAGUGGCUUACCAAGGCUUUGACGGGUAGCCGGCCUGAGAGGGUGACCGGCCACAUUGGGACUGAGAUACGGCCCAGACUGCUACGGGAGGCAGCAGUGGGGAAUAUUGCACAAUGGGCGGAAGCCUGAUGCAGCAACGCCGCGUGCGGGAUGACGGCCUUCGGGUUGUAAACCGCUUUCGCCUGUGACGAAGUGUGAGUGACGGUAAUGGGUAAAGAAGCACCGGCUAACUACGUG
rnacentral:rRNA from 1 species